AGUGAACGCUGGCGGCAGGCCUAACACAUGCAAGUCGAACGGCAGCACGGUCGUAGCAAUACGAUGGGUGGCGAGUGGCGGACGGGUGAGGAAUACAUCGGAAUCUACCUUGUCGUGGGGGAUAACGUAGGGAAACUUACGCUAAUACCGCAUACGAACUAUGGUUGAAAGCGGCGGACCGCAAGGCGUCGCGCGAUUGGAUGAGCCGAUGUCCGAUUAGCUAGUGGCGGGGGUAAAGGGCCCACCAAGGCGACGAUCGGUAGCUGGUCUGAGAGGAUGAUCAGCCACACUGGAACUGAGACACGGUCCAGACUCCUACGGGAGGCAGCAGUGGGGAAUAUUGGACAAUGGGGCGAACCCUGAUCCAGCCAUGCCGCGUGUGUGAAGAAGGCC
rnacentral:rRNA from 1 species